rnacentral:lncRNA from 1 species
UGAAAUAGUAAAGUGCUACUAAUGGCAUCCUAACAUGGCAUAAGACAGAAAAGUUGAUAAACACCCCAAACUUAAAAUGGGCAAUGCCCUCAUUACCUAGUAGACAGGAAUCAAUAUGAGAGGGCUUCCUUGAGGGUUGGCCACUCAGUACCAUCUUCGUCCUCAUCGUCAUCGAAGGUAGAAGAUGAUGGUGGAUAUAGAGGGCAGACAAGAGGCACGGGGAACUGGAAUGGUAUAUAAUUAGCUUCAUCUCCACCAGAUGCUACAUAAAUACUCUCUACAGUGUUGGUGAACUCAACAUAAUACUGCAUGAAUAGAUCCUACCGCUGAGUUACAAUAUCUAUCCUCCUACUUUGUUUGUCCACCUUAUAGUUCAGGAGGUUCAAUAGGCUAAAAUCUCUACCAAUGGCCCAGCUAAGGAAGAACCUAACUCAAGAUGCUGUGAAGAUGUGCCGGCCUCUGAAGAAGGAGGUGGAGGUCGAGAGGAAGGUAGGAAGCUCUCACGGCGUGGAUGAGGAUCUAAACAAUCCCACCCACUGAAUCCCGUAAUGACGAAGUGAUCUAUGACAACCAUGGGUAGCUGCUACACCACAUCCUAUGGACACUGCACUUUAUCCUGUCUGCACAGUCUGGUUAUCAAUGAUGGAUGUGGGAGUCCCCCUGAUGUAGUGCCUUUGAUCGCCUUCAGAAUGGACUCUUGAAUACAGAUGCCAAUAUCAACGUCGAGACCGGUGACAAUAGCAAAGAGUAGGACCGCUCGCUCCUUGGUGACAUCGCUGUGGU